CCAAUAGCGUAUAUUAAAGUUGUUGCAGUUAAAAAGCUCGUAGUUGAAUUUCGGGAUCAAUUAAUUGGUCGUGCCUCUGGUACGUACUGAUUUUAUUGGUUUCUCCCUUCUGAAGAACCAUGAUGUCAUUAAUUUGGUGUCGUGGAGAAUCAGGACUGUUACUUUGAAAAAAUUAGAGUGUUUAAAGCAAGCUAACGCUU
rnacentral:rRNA from 1 species